rnacentral:rRNA from 1 species
CUGGUAUUCCGGAGGGCAUGCCUGUUUGAGCGUCGUU